rnacentral:lncRNA from 1 species
AUUAGGAAGAGUCCAAUACACCAACCAAAUUUUGGUAAUAAUAAUGCUGCUAGGCCUCAACCCCAGCCACAAAUUUACAACAUAAGUAAGAAUGAUUUUAGGAAUAUUGUUCAGCAGCUUACAGGUUCACCAUCUCAAGAUAAUCAACCUCCUCCUAGACCUCCACAAAAUCCACCAAAAUCCCAAAGCAUGCGGUUGCAGAGAAUAAGACCUCCUCCGUUAACACCGAUUAAUCGACCGAAUAUACCUGCUCCUAUCCCUGCCCCUGUUCCCGUUCCUCCACCACAAGCUCUAGUCAA